UCCGUAGGUGGUGGGGCAAGUCGGCGGUUAAAGCCUGGGGCUUAACUCCAGAGAAGCCGUGGAAACUGCACCACUAGAGGGCAGUAGGGGUAGAGGGAAUUCCCGGUGUAGCGGUGAAAUGCGUAGAGAUCGGGAAGAACACCAGUGGCGAAAGCGCUCUACUGGACUGCAACUGACACUGAGGGACGAAAGCUAGGGGAGCGAAUG
rnacentral:rRNA from 1 species